rnacentral:rRNA from 1 species
GACGAACGCUGGCGGCGUGCUUAACACAUGCAAGUCGAACGGUAAGGCCCCUUCGGGGGUCCACGAGUGGCGAACGGGUGAGUAACACGUGAGCAACCUGCCCUUGACUCUGGAAUAACAGUUGGAAACAGCUGCUAAUACUGGAUAUUCAUCGUCUCCUUCCUGGGGGGUGGUGGAAAGCUCCGGCGGUCAGGGAUGGGCUCGCGGCCUAUCAGCUUGUUGGUGAGGUAAUGGCUCACCAAGGCUUCGACGGGUAGCCGGCCUGAGAGGGCGACCGGCCACACUAGGACUGAGAUACGGCCCAGACUCCUACGGGAGGCAGCAGUGGGGAAUAUUGCACAAUGGGCGCAAGCCUGAUGCAGCAACGCCGCGUGCGGGAUGACGGCCUUCGGGUUGUAAACCGCUUUCAGUAGGGACGAAGGGUGACUGACGGUACCUACAGAAGAAGGACCGGCUAACUACGUG